UAGGGAAUCUUCGGCAAUGGGGGGAACCCUGACCGAGCAACGCCGCGUGAGUGAAGAAGGUUUUCGGAUCGUAAAGCUCUGUUGUUAAGGAAGAACGAGUGUGAGAAUGGAAAGUUCAUACUGUGACGGUACUUAACCAGAAAGGGACGGCUAACUACGUGCCAGUAGCCGCGGUAAUACGUAGGUCCCGAGCGUUGUCCGGAUUUAUUGGGCGUAAAGCGAGCGCAGGCGGUUAGAUAAGUCUGAAGUUAAAGGCAGUGGCUCAACCAUUGUAGGCUUUGGAAACUGUUUAACUUGAGUGCAGAAGGGGAGAGUGGAAUUCCAUGUGUAGCGGUGAAAUGCGUAGAUAUAUGGAGGAACACCGUUGGCGAAAGCGGCUCUCUGGUCUGUAACUGACGCUGAGGCUCGAAAGCGUGGGGAGCGAACAGG
rnacentral:rRNA from 1 species